AUAUGUGGAUUAUGAAUUGGUUUUAAAAGGUCAUGUAGUUACUGAAACUACUUUAACAGUUUAAAUUUAUAUUUAGACACCUAAUCUUAGUUUUCUAACUUCUAGAAUAUGCUGAGAUUCAUGUCAUUCCUAGUGUUUUUAUAGUGUUAGUGGAUAAUACAAUUUCUAGUGCCUUUUGCUGUGUCAAGUAGAGUGGAUCAGGCUUCUUGGGAAAUUUCUGAUUUAGGAAUUUGACUAUUGUGUAUAACAGAAUUUUAGGAGCUGUGACACUUCUUUAUUCAAUCUCUCAUUGCUUAUAGGCCUAGAGUUGAUGAUGAUCUAGUUGCUUUUGUGAAGCUUGAUUGGCAAGCUGUAGGUGAUACA
rnacentral:misc_RNA from 1 species